UACGUAGGGUGCAAGCGUUGUCCGGAAUUAUUGGGCGUAAAGAGCUCGUAGGCGGCUAGUCACGUCGGAUGUGAAAACCCGAGGCUCAACCUCGGGCCUGCAUUCGAUACGGGCUGGCUAGAGUACUGCAGGGGAGACUGGAAUUCCUGGUGUAGCGGUGAAAUGCGCAGAUAUCAGGAAGAACACCUAUGGCGAAGGCAGCACUCUGGGACGGUACUGACGCUGAGACGCGAAAGCGUGGGGAGCGAACAGG
rnacentral:rRNA from 1 species